AGUGAACGCUGGCGGUAGGCCUAACACAUGCAAGUCGAACGGCAGCACAGUAAGAGCUUGCUCUUACGGGUGGCGAGUGGCGGACGGGUGAGGAAUACAUCGGAAUCUACUUUUUCGUGGGGGAUAACGUAGGGAAACUUACGCUAAUACCGCAUACGACCUACGGGUGAAAGCAGGGGAUCUUCGGACCUUGCGCGAUUGAAUGAGCCGAUGUCGGAUUAGCUAGUUGGCGGGGUAAGGGCCCACCAAGGCGACGAUCCGUAGCUGAUCUGAGAGGAUGAUCGGCCACACUGGAACUGAGACACGGUCCAGACUCCUACGGGAGGCAGCAGUAGGGAAUUUUGCGCAAUGGGCGAAAGCCUGACCGAGCAACGCCGCGUGGGUGAAGAAGGCCUUCGGAUUGUAAACCUCUUUUAUUGGGAAAGAAAAAAAGUGGAUUUAACCAUGCAUGUCUUGACGGUACCUAAUGAAAAAGCCCCGGCUAACUUCGUG
rnacentral:rRNA from 1 species